GCUUGGCUGGCUCAAGUCAGUGGAGUAUGUGACUCUUGAUCUCAGGGUUGUGAGUUCAAGUCUCAUGUUGAGUG
rnacentral:tRNA from 1 species